UACGAAGGGGGCGAGCGUUGUUCGGAAUUACUGGGCGUAAAGGGCGCGUAGGCGGCCGAUCAAGUUAGAUGUGAAAGUCCUGGGCUUAACCUGGGGACUGCAUUUGAUACUGAUUGGCUUGAAUUCGGGAGAGGAUAGCGGAAUUCCCAGUGUAGAGGUGAAAUUCGUAGAUAUUGGGAAGAACACCGGUGGCGAAGGCGGCUAUCUGGACCGACAUUGACGCUGAGACGCGAAAGCGUGGGGAGCAAACAGG
rnacentral:rRNA from 1 species